CCGGAGCGCCCCCGGGUGGGUGUGGCGCGGGGCUGAACUGCUGCGGGGUAAGGGCUGCCCGGCCCCAGGGCCUGCUCCGUCCCUGUCCUAGGGCCCGGCCCCGGCUCCACUGCCGGACCCCUGCCUAGUGGCGUCCCCCCAUUGGGGCCGUGCGCUUCCAAACACAAGCGCCCUGCCCGGCCCUCCGCCUCUCUUCCAAGCACCCCCGGGGCUGCCUGAACUUCUCCUUUCGUUAGUAGGAACGCUUCCUUCUCCUGGGGCGAAGAACGAGGAAACAAAACCCCACCACUGGGUCCGGUUCCUCCCUCCGGUUUUUAGAAAGAGACAGCUACGCUUCUGCUCGUGGCACAUCGCCUCCCAGCACCUUCUGCCCUGGGUUCUCUCAGGUUGUUCAUAGUCUUACAUAGCAUUUAUGCUCACACAUCAACAAAACGGGGAAAGGGAAAUAAAAUGGAACAAAUGUGAGUACCAAGGCCAUCUUGUGAAGGUAUGUGUUGGGCUCAAUAGACACCUUACCUGCAAGUUGUACUGUGCCAGCAUUAAUGCUCAUGAAUGCAACAAAUUGGUAACUGUCACUACUCAUUUGAUAAUUCUGUGUUUCAACACCAAGCGUAUUCUGAACAAACAUGUCCACACCUCUGUAAAUUAGCAGGUAGACAUCCAUAUUAAUGAGUGAACUCCUAGGGAGAGGUCAGUACUAAGACAGGAAUGAAGAUUUUCAGGCUUUUCAAUCCCUGUGCCCUACCAACUAGGCUAAAAAAACAGCUUCACUUAAGCAGGCCAGCUGAUAUAGUCACCUACAGUUCAUUACUUUGGACAAUGGAAACAGAGCAGCAAGGAGAAAAUAGUCUGUCAACGAAAAGUCUGUUCGGGAGUGGAGAAAGGAAGAAGCAGAGAUUGAGAAAUUACACCCUAGGAAAAGAGCGCACCGUGGAAAGAAAGCCAAGUGGCCGAAACUAGGAGAAAACCUGUUGAAGUGGGUUUGUGCACAGAGAGAGAACAAAAGGGCAGUGUCGAUGGUAGCCAUACAGCUCAAGGCUCGACUUAUGGCUAUGGAACAGAAAAUCUAUUAUUUUAAUGGGGACUCAGGAAAUUGGGUGUACAAAUUUAUGCAGAGAAACAAUCUGUCAGUUCACGCAUGGACAUUGGUUGGCCAACGGCUUCCCAAUGAAUGGGAGAAGAAAAUGGAUGAUUUUAAAACUUUUGUACAUAAAGAAAUUAAUCAACCGGGCUUGAAACCAAACAACGUUAUUAACAUGGAUGAGGUGCCCGUGUCAUUUGAUAUACCCGCUACUUGGUCUGUUGUGGAAACUGGAUUGAAAACAGUCAGUGUAGCAACCGCCGGUCAUGAACGCCCCUGUUUUACUGUAGUGUUGGCAUGCAUGCAAAUGGUGAUAAAUUAAAACCAAUAGUGAUUUUUAAGAGGGUAAUAAUGCCUAGAGAAAAACUGCCGGCUGGCUUUUGUGUGAUUUGUAACAAAAAGGGCUGGAUCAACACAGAUAUUAUGAAGACGUGGACAGAUAGCUACUUUUGUGCACGAAAAUGUGGUUUUUUAAAUCCUAAAUCUCUGCUGCUUUUAGAUUCCUUGGCUGCCCAUAAAGAAACUUCAGUUCAGAAACCUAUCAACACUGUGGGUGCACAUAUCGCCGUAAUUCCAGGUGGACUGACCUACAAGUUGCAACCACUUGAUGCAACCACCCGUUCAAGUGCUUCGUCCGAGAGGAAUAGGACAAUUGGAUGACAAAUGGGGAACACACAUUCACUCCGGCAGGUUGGCAGCACCAUGCAACUUACGGUGGAAGUUUGCAAAUGGGUUUUCGCUGCUUGGAACAGAAUAAAACAGGUUACUAUUUGGAAUGGGUUUCAUAAAUGUCAAAUUCUUCCUGACAUUGACUCGUCUAGCUCCGAAUCUAACUAUGACAGUGAUUCUAAUUUGGCACCACAGACCGCAACCGUCACCGAAGCUCACCUAGCCUUGGUUAUGGAUUUUAUGGAUAUUUUUCAAGACAGUGACAAUGACAAAAAUUUUGACGGUUUUGAAAACUCAGACACUGAGGAGAAUGUUGCUACCACUGAUUCUAGUAAUGCAGAAUGAAUGAGCUUAUGUAUUUUAUGACAAACUGUUUUACCAUAUAUUUAUUCUUUUAUUAUUAGUUUCACAUUAAAGUUUUAACUUUUAAUGUAUUUUAACA